GAUGAAGAACGUAGCGAAAUGCGAUAACUAAUGUGAAUUGCAGAAUUCCGUGAAUCAUUGAGUCUUUGAACGCACAUUGCACCCUCUGGUAUUCCGGGGGGUAUGCCUGUCCGAGCGUCAUUUCAACCCCUCAAGCCCGGCUUGCGUGAUGGGUGGCCUGUCCUCCCCCUUUCGUUAGGGGGGGGAUGCACCCGAAAUCUAGCGGGGACGUCUAGGUAACUCUAGGCUCAGUCAAUGGGAACAUUCUGGCGACUGCAGCUUCCGGCUUAGACGUCCAUCCCAGCUAAAGAUUCUUUCUAGGUUGACCUCGGAUCAGGUAGGGAUACCCGCUGAACUUAAGCAUAUCAAUAAGCGGAGGA
rnacentral:misc_RNA from 1 species